UACGAAGGGGGCUAGCGUUGUUCGGAUUUACUGGGCUUAAAGCGCACGUAGGCGGAUUGUUAAGUCGGGGGUGAAAUCCUGGAGCUCAACUCCAGAAUUGCCUUCGAUACUGGCUUUCUAGAGGCUGGAAGAGGUUAGUGGAAUUCCCAGUGUAGAGGUGAAAUUCGUAGAUAUUGGGAAGAACACCAGUGGCGAAGGCGGCUAACUGGUCCAGAUCUGACGCUGAGGUGCGAAAGCGUGGGGAGCAAACAGG
rnacentral:rRNA from 1 species